GAGGGUAUAGCUCAAGUGGCAGAGCACAUGCUUAGCAUGCACAGAGUCCUGGGUUCAAUCCCCAGUACCUCCU
rnacentral:tRNA from 1 species